CCUUGGUUCAGUCCUGGUUUAGUCCUGGUUUAGUCCUGGUUCAGUCCUGGUUCAGUCCUGGUUUAGUCCUUGGUUCAGUCCUGGUUCAGUCCUGGUUCAGUCCUGGUUCAGUCCUGGUUCAGUCCUGGUUCAGUCCUUGGUUUAGUCCUUGGUUCAGUCCUGGUUUAGUCCUGGUUCAGUCCUUGGUUUAGUCCUGGUUUAGUCCUGGUUUAGUCCUGGUUCAGUCCUGGUUCAGUCCUUGGUUUAGUCCUGGUUCAUCCUUGGUUCAGUCCUGGUUUAGUCCUGGUUCAGUCCUUGGUUUAGUCCUGGUUUAGUCUUGGUUCAGUCCUGGUUUAGUCCUUGGUUCAGUCCUGGUUUAGUCCUUGGUUCAUCCUGGUUUAGUCCUGAUUCAGUCCUUGGUUUAGUCCUGGUUUAGUCCUGGUUCAGUCCUGGUUCAGUCCUGGUUUAGUCCUUGGUUUAGUCCUGGUUCAGUCCUGGUUUAGUCCUGGUUUAGUCCUGGUUUAGUCCUGGUUCAGUCCUGGUUUAGUCCUUGGUUUAGUCCUGGUUCAGUCCUGGUUUAGUCCUGGUUUAGUCCUGGUUCAGUCCUGGUUUAGUCCUGGUUCAGUCCUGGUUCAGUCCUGGUUCAGUCCUGGUUUAGUCCUUGGUUUAGUCCUGGUUCAGUCCUGGUUCAGUCCUGGUUUAGUCCUGGUUUAGUCCUGGUUCAGUCCUGGUUUAAUCCUGGUUCAGUCCUGGUUCAGUCCUGGUUUAGUCCUGCUUUAGUCCUGGUUUAGUCCUGGUUUAGUCCUGGUUUAGUCCUGGUUUAGUCCUGGUUUAGUCCUGGUUUAGUCCUGGUUUAGUCCUGGUUUAGUCCUGGUUUAAUCCUGGUUCAGUCCUGGUUCAGUCCUGGUUCAGUCCUGGUUUAGUCCUGGUUUAGUCC